UACGUAGGGGGCAAGCGUUGUCCGGACUUACUGGGCGUAAAGCGCGUGCAGGCGGAUUGGUAUGUGCCGUGUGAAAGCUCUCAGCUUGCCUGGAGAGGUCGCGGUAGACAGCCGAUCUGGAGGCUCGGAGAGGUCAGUGGAAUUCCCGGUGUAGUGGUGAAAUGCGUAGAUAUCGGGAGGAACACCAGUGGCGCAAGCGGC
rnacentral:rRNA from 1 species